rnacentral:rRNA from 1 species
GACGUAGGAUGCGAGCGUUGUUCGGAUUUAUUGGGCGUAAAGCGAGCGUAGGUGGCUAGUUAAGUCUGGUGUUAAAGCUAGAGGCUCAACCUCUGUGAUGCACUGGAAACUGGCUGGCUUGAGUAUGGUAGGGGAAGGUGGAAUUCCGAGUGUAGCGGUGAAAUGCGUAGAUAUUCGGAGGAACACCGGUGGCGAAAGCGGCAUCCUGGACCAACACUGACGCUGAGUGAGCGAAAGCCAGGGGAGCAAACGGG